ACAGUGCUACAAAACUGAAACAGGAAAAUGCCUUACUUCAGGUUCAGCUGAACAAUUACAAGACCGAGAAUGAAGCCUUAAGGUCAGGCCAGUCGGCGAGUCUGGCCGUGGUGAAACAAAAUGCAGAUGCUGCCUUGCAAAACCUUCUCACGGUCAUAACAAACUCCCGGUCGUCAAUAAAGCAGCUGGUCUCCGGGGCAGAAUCGCUGCAGCUCGUCGCUGAUCUCCUUAAAUCGAUAGACAGAAUUUCUGAAAUGUCAGAAGAAGGACAGUAAAACCACAAAACGGACUCCACGGGAGAAACUUUGCUGUCACGCAGAAACCGUUACUUAAAAGUUAAUUUCUGAUACCCGGCCUCCUGACGGUGCGAAGUUGUCCGUGCUCCCACAGAACCGGCUUUUCCGUCUCUGCCUGCUGUGCGGCCACCGGCUGGCUCAAAGGCGACCGGACAAGAAUGACGAUGAAGAUGAUGACUCGGAUUCUCAUGCUGAAAUGGAAAUGGAAAGAGAAGAUGACAGUAGCGAUGAUGAUAUUGAAAGUAGUCUGCCACAGGAUCCAGAAACAUGUCUGCAGAUGAACCAUGUGUACCAGGAAGUUAUCCAGGAAAAGAUUGAGGAAGUCGAGCUUCUCAUUGCGCAAAACAAAGAACAGCAGAAGGAGAUCAUGUGUGAGCUCGGUGGUCCAAAAAUAGCAAAGGCAGGAGAUGGUAGAAAUCUACCAGCAAAUGUAUUUUUGGGUCAUUUUAUGAAGCCAUACUUUAAGGAUAAAACAACAGGAAUUGGCCCUCCUUCCAAUGAAGAUGCCAAGGAAAAGGCAGCUCAGGGCAUAAAAUCUUUUGAACAACUGCUUUCGACAAAAUGGAAAAGCAGAGAGAAGACGUUAUUGCAGAAAUCAGUAGUAAGCGACCGCUUGCAGCGCCUGCUUCAGCCAAAGUUACUGAAGAUGAGUUAUUGGAAUCAGAAACUGGAGAAAGUCAAGACUGAAACAGAGAAACAGACCUUGGAAAAGCAAAUCAAAGAAGUGGAGCAAGAAAUAGAGGCAAUUAACCAACUCCCAGAAAGUGACUUGUUAGGAAACAGAUUUGAUGAGCAUGACUGGGAGAAAAUUUCAAACAUCCACUUUGAUGGACAACGUAGUUCAGAAGAACUGAGGAAAUUUUGGCAAAAUUGGGAGCAUCCAAGCAUCAAUAAAAAGGAAUGGACUGAGGAGGAAAUAGAGAGGCUAAAGAAGAUAGCUGCUAAACACGGUUAUCUGGACUGGCAGACUAUAGCCCAGGAGCUGGGGACAAACAGGACACCUUUCCAGUGCUUGCAGAAGUAUCAAGUUUAUAACAAAGAUUUGAAAAGGAAAGAAUGGACCAAGGGUGAAGAUCAGAUGCUUUUAGAGCUUGUUCAAGAGAUGAGAGUAGGAAGUCAUAUCCCAUACAAGAAAAUUGCUUAUUACAUGGAAGGAAGAGAUUCUGCUCAGCUGAUUUACCGAUGGACAAAGAGCGUGGACCCCAGUUUGAAGAAAGGACCCUGGACACCAGAGGAAGAUGCUAUGCUGUUGGCUGCAGUUAAGAAGUACGGAGAGCGUGACUGGUAUAAAAUUCGGACAGAAGUGCCAGGGAGGAGCGAUGCUCAGUGCAGAGAUCGGUACUUAAAAGCAUUGCACUGUGAUGUAAAGAAAGGCAAGUGGAGUUUAGAGGAAGAGGAGCAGCUAAUCGAACUGGUUGAAAAGCAUGGCCUGGGUCAUUGGAGUAAAAUAGCUUCCGAAUUGCCACAUCGGACUGGCUCCCAAUGUCUAAGCAAGUGGAAACUCAUGAUUGGGUCUAAGAAAAGGUCUAGGCCAGCAAAACGCCGACACGUGCAAGAGAGUUCCAGCUCUUCAGAGAGUAGCAGUGAAGACAUAGAACUAGACUUAGCAGACAGUUCAGAGGAGGAGACAACAAGCAAGGAGGAGUGUGCAUUAACGAGCAAGGAGGAGUGUGCAAUUCCCAACAUUGAUUUGUGGGUACCAACAAGGACAAAUACGCAGGAGUCAAACAAAGGAAGAUACCAAACUCCAUCCCUUUUCUCUCCUGCGAGUGCUGAUGCAAAGACCAGUAGCAGUGAAGUUCCAAGCGCAACAUGUGAUGGAGACAAGUACAGAGCUGCCGAUAAAUCGUCAGAGUUGAACACCAUCCUGAAGGGCAUCGCGCGACCACAUUCAACAGACAUCAUUGUGAAGAAUCCAAUAGAAGUAAUGAACAAGGCAUCCAGAUGUGGAAAGCAAGUGCUACGGGUUACCCUGGAGAAUGUGAGAAGAGUAUUAAGAAAUAACACGUGCAUUCAGAGGAAACUGAAGUUUCAGGGGCUGCAGAACAUCACAGAGAAAACUUAUCAUCAAGAGAGAGAGCGUUUGAGAAGAAUGAACCUUGACAGAAAGCUUCUAAUGGCAGUGACACCUUGGGUGGGCAACGUACUACUGCCUUGCACCUUGCAAACUGGGAAGAUGGCUUUUCAUCAGACAAAAGCUGAUUCUAUUCAAGAGAAGGUUAAGUCGGUCAGUCUCGCGAGCACUCCUCUGUUCACGCUUUUCAUUCAGCUCUUUCAGAUUGAUACCAAUGGCUGCAUGAAGAUUAUUCGUGAGAGAAGGCUGAAGCAGUUGGAGCUUCUCGGGGCUAAUGCAAGAAGGCCUCAGCAGGCUUCCCAAAAUACGGAGACUUCUUCAGGCAAUUCAGCACAAUCUUGUACUCAGAAGAACUCCCGAAGGGGCAUACCAAGGAAUGCCAUCAGGAGACCUGUUGCCUUAAAAGCAAGGGAGACUUCUGCUGCUGUCUUUGAGAGCCGUGCUCCUGCCAUGCAGGGACCUCUUCCAGCCCAAGUGCAAAGGCAGAAGCCUAAAACUGUCUCGGAAUUACUGAGAGAGAAGCGUCUAAGAGAAUCCCGGGCUAAGAAGGCUAUGCAGAGGACAGUAUUUGUUGCCCCACAGAUGCUGGUUUCGGGGCCUCUGAUAAUCCAGCACCCACCACAGCAAAUCAUUCCUUCUGCACAAGCAGGGAGCAAACCUGCAGCAGCUGGUUGUACAAAUAGCCAAGUACAGUGUGCACCAGCUCCAUUGCCAGCAUUUACUUCUGUUGCAGGUUCAACUUCUACCACUAUUGUGCUUAAAAACCAUUCCUCAACGGUGUCAGAAACCAGGGAAAGCCCUGGUUCCUCACAAGGAACAGAACUACAAUCCAAUAAGGAACUAAAAGAGCAAGCUUUGGAAAGUAGCCCUGAAGGAGGGGCUUUUCCAGGCAUGAAUCCAGCUGCGGCAGAGAAGGCUCCACAGCAGGGAGGGUGCAAUGGUCAGGUCCUAGCUGGUAGCUCAGCUUCAGUAGUGUUGCAAAACCAAGCUUUUCUCCCACAUCAGAUUACAGUGGUGCCUGUUGGCAUUGAGUCUGGCACCAACAAACUGUCUCUUCCCACACCAGUUACCUGUGAGCUGAAUAGUAAUGGGCCACAACAGAGGCCAGUCAAUCUUUUGCCUGCUCUUGUAACUCCACAAACUGGUUCACAUUUGAUUCCCAACAGCAUAUUGCCUUUCACGUGGGUCGUAACGCCACAGGCUUUGCUCCCCACUGCUGUACAAACUGUGAUGGGUGUUCCCCAAGGACUGCCGGCUGCUGCUGUGGCAAGUCAAUGUCAGACAACUGUGACUUCCAGUGGCAAUGUCCCUGGCUUAGGAGUGCCUCCUGUACCAGCUGGAGUGAAUAUGCCUCACCCCAGCAGCGUAGAGACAAAAGCACCGAGUGCCCAGUUAGCAGAAGGAGUACCUUUGGGAAAGACAGCUAACCAUUCCACAACUCUCUUACCUGUGACCUCAGCGAGUCCUGGAUGCACCACAUCCAGCAUUUCUUCUGCAACACCUGCACAUUCAGAUGGCUUCUCCAAGGCUUCUGACUCCUCUGCAGCUCAGGCUGCUCUUCCACCUGAUGUACCAACCCUGCAUGCUGUGCUGCUGCCCCAAACACACCUACCUGCAAGCACUCAAGGGUCUGAUUCCCAGUGCUUGACGAGUCUCGCUAGCUUGGGAAAGAGCCACGACUCUGUUACAACAAAUGGAUCAUCUUCCAAUCCAAGCAUCAUCACAAAAGGGAUUGUGCUCCAGCCAGGAGAUGCAGUUCCCAAUAACAAGGUCACAAGGAGCUCUGAUUGCUGUGCUGCACAAGCGUUGAAAAAUAGACCUAUAGCCUCCAAACCUCCGACGGCGCAGCCGGCUGACAGUCCACCCCAGCCAACCACUUCCAGCACAGAAAAGAAUUUACUUGACUUGAGCCUGAUUUCUCUUGAAGAUGAGGGGGUAGUGAAGGAGUGGCUGAAUGGGAAACAAGGUGUCCAGGUACCAUCACUGCAAACCAGGUUGCCUUAUUUGCCACCUUUUCUGUGCAACUUAAAAACCCUCUCGAAGCUACUUCUGCAGAAAGCAGCUCUAGAAGAGCAAGCAGCAUGUCUUCUGCCUUCUGAUGCCAGUCAGGAUGAGGGCACUGGGGUUGAUUUGGACGCUAUCAGAGAACUGGUGCAGCAGAAACUCGGCGACAACCCUGCUUACCUCCUACUGAAAGCGAGAUUCCUAGCAGCCUUUACACUCCCAGCUGUACUUGCAACUCUGCCUCCUCCAAAAGUGACAACAACUCUGUCAGCCAGCAGGAAGCAAUAUGAAGAGAGUGAUGAAGAGGAGUGGCAGAGUGAGAAGGAAGUGUCUGAGGAAGAGAGUUGUGGGAAUGAAUUAACAGGUGUGCGGUUGGAUUGGACAGUUGAUGAUGAGCCUGGAGACAAAGACGCUGAUUUACUAAAUCAGGGCAUGGGAGCUGAAGAGAAUGCUGCACAGUCUGUCUUGGACUCCUGCUCUGAUAUGGUUGAUGCCAGCGCUCCUCAAAUCAGGAGAAGUGCCCGCUUCAGGAAAAGGAGGAGGAUGUGAGAAGGAAAUGUGAGUCACUUGAAUGAGGUCUGCUUUCCUACAUGGCAGUAGGAGAUACUCUUUGCACUAUUCACUUUUAACACUUCCAACAAACUGACUAGACGGACCUGGGGAAGAGAGGAAAAUGUCUGGACUGGUUUUCCCAUCGCCUAACAAAGUCUACAUCUUUAGACAAGUUGCAAAAAAACGAGUCAAAAUGGCUGGAGGGAAGUCUUUCAGGCACAGACAAUUCUGUUCUCUUUCAAACUAGCACCUGCCAUAGAUGCUGGGGGGAAGGUUUCUGGAGAUCUGGGGAAACAAGCAAUGAUGGUUAUUUAUUUCCUUUUUGUGUUAGCCCCUAUUUAUGUGAAUGAUUAUCCAUGCUCAGAAUAUGUUGUUCAUUGGGUGUUUUUUCUAGUGCUGUGACAGUGGUUUUGCUUGAUAGCUAACUGACCGAAUACUGCUGAAUAAGCAGCAGAUUAAUUUUGUAUCAAAAUGAGUCUUGAGUAUUUGUUGAAAUACAGAUGUUUUAUUUUUCUCACUUAAAAAUUACUGAUGUAUUCUGUGUGGUUUUUUUUCUGGUAAAUAGUGCUUUUAAUAAUGUGUGUAUGAGUGUGAUUGCUAAUGGGAAAAAUGAAGUUUGCAAGCUGCUUGAAAACCAGGGAGAAUGUGGAAAAUGAAUAUGCAUGUGGCUAGAACUGCAGGAUUGAAUUAGGCUUGCAUUCUUUCUUGAUUCUUCCACAGCCUGCCCUGUACAGACAUCAGCAAAUCACUUAACAAAAACUUGUUUCUUCAUUCAUAAAACAGCAAUUUCUGUCUUACAGAGAGGUGCAAAGCUAGCUGAGUCAAAGCUGAUAAAAUCUAGUGGGAAAGUGCUGCAGAAAGCUUCAUUCCACUGCACUGGCUAAGCUUCUGAGAGUGUAGUGGAUUAAACUGAUCUGUUACUAUAGAACAAAAACUCCUCAGGCUGGAUUGGUCAAUUAGCAGACAUUCCGAUUACCUUCAGCACAGGCAUAGCUAAUAGAGAGCAUAGCUGAGUAGUUUCCCCUUUUCUCAAACCAGUUUUGCUCCUGGAAUGAUCUUUGCUCUAACCAGAAUAUAAAGGGAGGCUGCGUCCAAGACAAGUUUUCUCAGAGACAGGACACAGAUGAAUGUUGCUAGACCAGGAGAGGAAAGAAGGAGGCUUUUGACUGCACAGGCUCAGUGAGAUGUGGGAGAUGUUCAGCUGUCUGGAGGGAGACCAUUGACCUUUGGUGACUUCUGUUUUCUCAGAAUUCAGUGUUGGCUUUCCUUCAUGUAUGCGUCAGCAGCAUUGAUGCUAGCCUCGCAGCUGCUGAUAUCUCCAGUCUGGUGCUGUUC